UACGUAGGUGGCAAGCGUUGUCCGGAAUUAUUGGGCGUAAAGGAUGCGUAGGUGGUCUUUUAAGUGAGAUGUGAAAUCCCUGGGCUUAACCCAGGAACUGCAUUUCAAACUGGAAGACUAGAGUGCAGGAGAGGAAAGUGGAAUUCCUAGUGUAGCGGUGAAAUGCGUAGAGAUUAGGAGGAACACCAGUGGCGAAGGCGACUUUCUGGACUGUAACUGACACUGAGGCAUGAAAGCGUGGGGAGCAAAC
rnacentral:rRNA from 1 species